CCCUUAGAUGUUCUGGGCCGCACGCGCGCUACACUGAUGCGUCCAGUAAGCACCUAACCUCUUCCGAAAGGAACGGGUAACCUUUGCAAAGCACAUCGUGAUGGGGAUAGAUUAUUGCAAUUAUUAGUCUUGAACGAGGAAUUCCUAGUAAGCACAAGUCAUCAGCUUGUGUUGAUUACGUCCCUGCCCUUUGUACACACCGCCCGUCGCUCCUACCGAUUGAAUGUUCCGGUGAGCUCUUCGGACUGCGCGGUCUGCAGUUUCUGCGUUCCGUGCGGAAAGUUGCGCAAACCUUAACAUUUAGAGGAAGGAGAAGUCGUAACA
rnacentral:rRNA from 1 species